rnacentral:rRNA from 1 species
AACGAACGCUGGCGGCAGGCUUAACACAUGCAAGUCGAGCGCCCCGCAGGGGGAGCGGCAGACGGGUGAGUAACGCGUGGGAAUCUACCCAUCUCUACGGAAUAACGCAUGGAAACGUGUGCUAAUACCGUAUACGUCCUUCGGGAGAAAGAUUUACCGGAGAUGGAUGAGCCCGCGUUGGAUUAGCUAGUUGGUGGGGUAAAGGCCUACCAAGGCGACGAUCCAUAGCUGGUCUGAGAGGAUGAUCAGCCACACUGGGACUGAGACACGGCCCAGACUCCUACGGGAGGCAGCAGUGGGGAAUAUUGGACAAUGGGCGCAAGCCUGAUCCAGCCAUGCCGCGUGAGUGAUGAAGGCCCUAGGGUUGUAAAGCUCUUUCACCGGUGAAGAUAAUGACGGUAACCGGAGAAGAAGCCCCGGCUAACUUCGUGCCAGCCGCCGCCGUAAGAC